GUGACCUCGGAUCAGGUAGAGU
rnacentral:rRNA from 1 species